CUAGCGUUGUUCGGAAUUACUGGGCGUAAAGCGCGUGUAGGCGGCUUGGUAAGUCGGAUGUGAAAGCCCCGGGCUCAACCCGGGAAGUGCACUCGAUACUGCCAAGCUAGAGUAUCGGAGAGGUUGGUGGAAUUCUCGGUGUAGAGGUGAAAUUCGUAGAUAUCGAGAGGAACACCGGUGGCGAAGGCGGCCAACUGGACGAAUACUGACGCUGAGACUCGAAAGCGUGGGGAGCAAACAGG
rnacentral:rRNA from 1 species